rnacentral:rRNA from 1 species
UACAGAGGGUGCGAGCGUUUAAUCGGAAUUACUGGGCGUAAAGCGUGCGUAGACGGUAAUGUAAGUCGGGUGUGAAAGCCCCGGGCUCAACCUGGGAAUUGCAUUCGAGACUGCAUCGGCUUGGGUGCGGAAGAGGGAAGCGGAAUUUCCGGUGGAGCGGUGAAAUGCGUAGAUAUCGGAAGGAACACCGAUGGCGAAAGCAGCUGUGCUGGACCUUUUUCUGACGU